GCUUCUUUCUCUCUAACUUAUUCUCUGCAAAUGUUGAAGAUGGAGAUUUAGUGUUCGUAUGAAGAUAGAAAUUUAGAGAUGAUGUUGUUACAACGAGUACUACUAGUUCUUUUAUGUUUUCUGAAAAUCGCACCACAACAGUUUGUGAUUCUCAAAUUUAGAGAUGAUGUUUCACUAAGAGAAAACGUAAAAUUGGUGACGCACAAAUGCCAGGAGACGUGAACAGACUUUGAUGGAGGUGAAGAUGAACCAAGUUGUUAGUUUCUGUUGCUGCUGUUGUAGUGGUUUGAAAGAUGUUGUGGUGGUAAUGAACCAGAUUGUUGUGGUGGUUUUAGAUGCUGUUGCUGCUAGUUUUGAAGAUGUUGAUGGAUAGGAGACACUGCCAAUGUCUUUUGUUACUUCCCUACUCAGGCCUUGAACUUUGCAUUUAAGGAUUACUUCAAGAGACUCUUUAGUUUCAAGAAGGACAGAGAUGCUACUGGAAAUGGUUUACUGGUAACUUGGCGUCUGGAGGUGCUGCUGGUGCUUCUUCGCUUCUCUUUGUAUACUCUCUUGAUUACGCUAGAACCCAUCUUGCCAAUGACGCCAAGUAUGCAAAGAAGGGAGGAGAGAGAUGGUUCAAUGGUUUGGUUGAUGUCUACAUGAAGACUAUUAAAUCUGAUGGAAGUGCUGGGCUUUACCGUGUAUUCAACAUUUCAUGUGUUGGAAUCAUUGUCUACCGUGGUUUUUACUUCGGAUUGUAAGAUUCUCUAAAGCCAGUUCUUUUGACCGGGGACCUUUCAAUAGUUUCAUGGCCAGUUUCGCUGCAAUGGACCAAAUGCUUGUAUUUUGAAGAUGCAGUUGGUUUUGAUGAUGUCGAUGGAGGUGGGAAUGAUGUUGGUGCUAGCGGUAGUGGCUUUGAUGUUGAUGGUUGUUGCUGCUAGUGGUGGUGGUUUUGAUGUUGGAGGUGGAAAUGUUGCUGGUGGUGGUUUUGAAGAUUGAUAGAGGUGGAAAUGAGCUAAAUGUUGUUGCUGGAUGUAAUGGUUCAUGGCAUUCAUAACAUAACCCAUGGCUUGCUCCUAAAGGUUCACCAUUCCAGAUCCAGGGUCUACUGGUGCCAUAUAUUUCUGGUUAACUGUGGUUAAGCUGCUUGAGUUAUAAGACAAGGGUAUUUUGGGGAAAAUUCGAGACCGUUUUUUUGCAAACUGUUAAGUCGGAUGGAUGAUGACCAUUUUGUAAACCAAAUCAUAAAGUAUGAUCAUUUUGUAAAGAAAUUAGAAAAAGUAUGACCAUUUUGUAAUUGGCCCUUGUUCUUUCGGGAAUGACAUUUUAUGGGGGAGAGUUCUUAAUUGAACUUGUGUUUAAUUGCCAAAUCUUUAUGGGG